rnacentral:rRNA from 1 species
CCUACGGGAGGCAGCAGUGAGGAAUAUUGGUCAAUGGGCGCGAGCCUGAACCAGCCAAGUAGCGUGAAGGAUGACGGCCCUACGGGUUGUAAACUUCUUUUAUAAAGGAAUAAAGUGAGGCACGUGUGCCUUUUUGUAUGGACGUUAUGAAUAAGGAUCGGCUAACUCCGUGCCAGAAGCCGCGGUAAUACGGAGGACCCGAGCGUUAUCCGGAUUUAGUGGGGUUAAAGGGAGCGUAGAGGGGUUGUUAAGUCAGUUGUGAAAGUUUGCGGCUCAACCGUAAAAUUGCAAUUGAUACUUGCAGCCUUGAGUACAGUUGAGGUAGGCGGAAUUCGUGUUGUAGCGGUGACAUGCUUAGAUAUCCCG